GAAAAGUAUAUUUAAAUUUAAUAUUAAUUUGUCUUGGUUGUUAUCCGAAUUCGGAUAAGAAGAUAAAAUGAAUUAUACAUAUGAGUACCAAUCAAGAUUUUUCCCGAAUUCAGAUAAAAGUGAUAAAGUCACAUGUCAAUUGGCCUUGUGAUUAUUUUUCUGAGCUACGGAUUGCUUGAUUGUUUCUUGUUUAACGUUCAGUAGCAAAUAUUUAAUGUACAUGAACAUGAAAAAGCAAAGUUAAUGAAGGGAGGGCAAAAGUGCGUUCUACAAACUGCUCCUCCUUUCGUUUUCCAUUGGUAAAUGCAAGCAUGAUAGAAAAAAAAAGAAAAGGAAACUCGUCCGACCAUAUAUAUAAUAGCUAUUACAUCUAUGAUCCGACAUACCAUCAAAAGGAACAAUCAUCGGUAGACCUCGCCACAACGGUCGAGUAUCGUUAAACUUUCAUGUCAGACCGUGUACAUUGAAAUAAAACACAAUUUGACGACAGAUAAUUCAGAUAUAUUAAAUGAAAAUAUACUAGUAAAUCGACUUAUUUAUUGUUUAUUAUAAGUCCAUUUCAGGCGAAUAUUUAUAUAAGAUACAGUUCACACAAGAGUGCACACACUAAAAUGUCUCGCCUUUUUUACUAAUCAUUGAUGUUAUGUUCAUAGGCCUAAAUAUAAAGCUUUAUUACAACUGUCACAUAAACUCAACAUUAACCAAGAAAACGAAACAUUGAUCAAUGAACCAUGAAAAUGAGGUCAUGGUCAGAUGAACCAUGCCAAGCAGACAUGAACAGCUAACAAUUCUUCAAUACAACAAAUAUAGUUGACGUAUUGCUUAUAAAUUAAGAAAAACAGACCAAAACACAAAUACUUAACACUUAGCAAUGGACCGUGAAAAGGCGGCCAAGGUCAAAUAAAACCUUCGUAACAGACAUAGAUCAUAAAAUAUUUUCAUACACCACAUAUAGUUGACCUAAUGCAUAAAGUAUUAGAAAAAUAUACCAAAAACACAAAAACUUAACUAAAACCAUUGAACCAUGAAAAUGAGUUCAAGGUCAGAUAACACCUGUUAGCUAGACAUGUACACCUUACAAUCAGUCCAUACACCAAAUAUAGUAGACCUGUUGCAUAUAGUAUAAGAAAAACAGACCAAAACACAAAAACUUAACUAAAACCACUGAACCAUGAAAAUGAGGUCAAGGUCAGAUGAUACCUGCCAGUUAGACAUGUACAAAUGAACACCUUACAGUCCUUCCAUACACCAAAUAUACUAGAGUUAUUGCUUAUAGUAUCUGA
rnacentral:lncRNA from 1 species